rnacentral:rRNA from 1 species
UACGUAGGGUGCAAGCGUUGUCCGGAAUUAUUGGGCGUAAAGAGCUCGUAGGCGGUCUGUCGCGUCGGCUGUGAAAACUCGGGGCUCAACUCCGAGCUUGCAGUCGAUACGGGCAGGCUAGAGUUCGGCAGGGGAGACUGGAAUUCCUGGUGUAGCGGUGAAAUGCGCAGAUAUCAGGAGGAACACCGGUGGCGAAGGCGGGUCUCUGGGCCGGAACUGACGCUGAGGAGCGAAAGCGUGGGGAGCGAACAGG